AGCAGUGUAGCAUAGUGGUUAAGGAAUAGGACUCGUAACCAAAAGGUUGCUGGUUCGAUUCCCCCUGGGGCACUGUUG